AGCGAAUCGAUACAGUGUGCAAGUCCCUAAUUCACAUGUUUAUGACAUGUAUUAAGCAAAUAUCAGACAGUGUGCAUACUCCCAAAUCAUAAUUUCGAUGUUAUUAAGAAAUUAACCUCUUUAUGUACACACCAUCCGUUAAUACGACUAAAUUUUAGUUUGGAAAACUUGAAAAAAUGUCUUCUACAGGCAAAAAAGGAAAAAAGAACAAAGGAACUGUAAUAUCAUUGCAAUCCUUCCUUUCCAAUACUGAUGCACCAGCCGGAACUACGCAAGUUUCAAAAAAAAUACGAAAUUUCGACGGUGAAGACAGCGACGAUGGAAGUUGCACCUUACCUUUGGUUUAUCAACUGCCUACUGCACCUCGUGCAAACCGAAUAUUUGAUGAUAAUUCCAUCCCUCAUAAACCCCCAUUCAUUGCAUAUAUUAAUAACUUGCCAUUUGAUGCAAAUGAAGUCGAUUUAUACGAAUUUUUCUCUGGAAUUCAUUUGAUUUCAUUAAGGUUACCACGAGAAGACGGCGAAAAUGGUCGAUCACGUGGGUUUGGUUACGUAGAAUUAGAGACGCGAGAUGAUUUAAUUCAUGUACUGAGUCUACCAGAUCCAUCUAUUAAAGGUCGUCGGAUCCGAAUUGAACUUUCAAACGAAAACGACCAACAAAGUCGUCAAAAAAGCAAUAGACGAUUUGAUGGCUUUGGAAAUAGUGGAGAGAACAGAGACUCUGGAAACUGGAGAAGGGAUAGUCAAAAUAAUAGUGGAAAUUUUGAACGUAGCUUUAACAGGGAAAGAAAAUCUGUUAAUGAAAAAGAAGAUAAUAACACACCUGGAUCUUGGCGAACAAAUGCUAGGCCGCAAUCUUUCGAUUCGUCUCCAAGUCGUAGAGAUGAACCACUAGAAAAUUAUCGUGGAAGAAUAGGAGAUCGGUAUGCCCGAGAAGACAUUCCCAAUAUUGAGGAAAGACCGAAACUUAAUUUAAAACCGCGAACUUUACCAUUACCUGAAAUUGGAAGUUCUAAAUUGGAAAAAAUUAAUGUGAAUGAUAAAAAUGUCACUCAACACAGUGGAACGCCAUCAUUAAAUGUUUUUGGAUCUGCUAAACCAGUUGAUACAGCAUCCAGAGAACUGGAGAUUGAAGAACGUUUAGCUGUAGCACGAAGACAAGACAAAAAUCGGCAAGAGGACAACCUUUGUGAGCAACUUGACGAUAUCCAAAUGGACAAAAAUGAAAAUGAAAAUGUAAACGCAGCAGUAAACUGGCGCCAAAACCAAGAUAAAAAAGAGGAAAAAAAAAUCAAAACAGGGAUUCAGGAUGGAAAACGGCGUGAUGAACUUACUUAUACAAGAUCGAAUCAACCCCGGGAUUCCUUAGACAGGUAAUUUAUAUUAUAAAGAUCUGAGACUUCAAAAGGAGAUGACAUUUUUAAUGGAAAACAAUUUCAAGAGGAUAAUAAAAACAAGCGAGACCGAUCACUGCCGAAGUUUAUACCCCAGACUGGACCUGUGUUGCAAUCAUCUAACAAAUAUUCUGGACUUGACGAUGAAGAAGAGUCUGAAUGAAAAUAUAUAUGUAUACAUGUUUUUAAAAAAUAAAUUCAAAUAAAUAACAAAAUAUAUGCCGCA